CCCUUAGAUGUUCUGGGCCGCACGCGCGCUACACUGACCAGUGCAACAAGCAUCCGUCCUUGGCCGACAGGCUCGGGCAAUCUUUGAACGCUGGUCGUGAUGGGGGUAGACUUUUGCAAUUUUUGGUCUUCAACGAGGAAUUCCUAGUAAACGCAAGUCAUCAACUUGCAUUGAUUACGUCCCUGCCCUUUGUACACACCGCCCGUCGCACCUACCGAUUGAAUGGUCCGGUGAAGCCUCCGGAUUGGCGCGCACCUCGGUGCCGCCGAGAAGUUGGCUAAACCUUACCAUUUAGAGGAAGGUGAAGUCGUAACA
rnacentral:rRNA from 1 species